CAUCCUCCAAGGCUAAAUACUCCUGACUGACCGAUAGUGAACCAGUACCGUGAGGGAAAGGCGAAAAGAACCCCGGCGAGGGGAGUGAAAAAGAACCUGAAACCGUGUACGUACAAGCAGUGGGAGCCCCACCACUAAGCCAGUGGUGGAUUCCACAUACGCAUCCUUUGCUGAGGAUACGGUUAACGGAGCGAAAGCGACGUUCAACCUCAAAAGAAGCAGAGGGGGCUUAGUGGUGGGGUGACUGCGUACCUUUUGUAUAAUGGGUCAGCGACUUAUAUUCUGUAGCAAGGUUAACCGAAUAGGGGAGCCGGAGGGAAACCGAGUCUUAAUUGGGCGUUAAGUUGCAGGGUAUAGACCCGAAACCCGGUGAUCUAGCCAUGGGCAGGUUGAAGGUUGGGUAACACUAACUGGAGGACCGAACCGACUAAUGUUGAAAAAUUAGCGGAUGACCUGUGGCUGGGGGUGAAAGGCCAAUCAAACCGGGAGAUAGCUGGUUCUCCCCGAAAGCUAUUUAGGUAGCGCCUCGUGAAUUCAUCUCCGGGGGUAGAGCACUGUUUCGGCUAGGGGGCCAUCCCGGCUUACCAACCCGAUGCAAACUGCGAAUACCGGAGAAUGUUAUCACGGGAGACACACGGCGGGUGCUAACGUCCGUCGUGAAGAGGGAAACAACCCAGACCGCCAGCUAAGGUCCCAAAGUCAUGGUUAAGUGGGAAACGAUGUGGGAAGGCCCAGACAGCCAGGAUGUUGGCUUAGAAGCAGCCAUCAUUUAAAGAAAGCGUAAUAGCUCACUGGUCGAGUCGGCCUGCGCGGAAGAUGUAACGGGGCUAAACCAUGCACCGAAGCUGCGGCAGCGAACGUAUCACCCAAGACAACUUUACGGAGUUGACGAUUGACGGAGCGAAGCGACGUCAAAGCGUUCAUUAAAGUCGAGUUGGCUUAGGGAUACGUUCGUUGGGUAGGGGAGCGUUCUGUAAGCCUGUGAAGGUGGCCUGUGAGGGUUGCUGGAGGUAUCAGAAGUGCGAAUGCUGACAUAAGUAACGAUAAAGCGGGUGAAAAGCCCGCUCGCCGGAAGACCAAGGGUUCCUGUCCAACGUUAAUCGGGGCAGG
rnacentral:rRNA from 2 species